CUGGUGCUGGUGCUGCCUUGAGAAUGCUGUUUCCAGCCCCUAAACCUGACCCAUUCCCUCUUCUAGGACCCUACUCAGCCUCCAGGCCCAGCUCAGUGACUGCCCCCAAAGACUCCCUGGAGCAUUCCUUCUAAAAGGGCCUGCUCUAGUCAAACCACCCACAGCCUCUGUGCUACUGUGUCCGGAAUUGGUGGGUUUUUGGUCUCGCUAACUUCAAAAAUGAAGCCAUGGACCCUCGUGAAACAGGGUCUCACUAUGUUGCCCAGGCUGCUCUCAAACUCCUGAGCUCAAGCAGUCCUCCUGCCUCAGUCUCCCAAAGUGUUGGGAUUAUAGGUGUGAGCCACCACACCCGGCCUAUUUGGGUCCCAAUCCAGACCCUAAGACAGAGUUCUUGGAUCUUGAGUACAAAAGAAUCCAGGACUCUUCUAACAAGCAGUCUCAGCCAGUCACAGGAGCCAAACUUCAGUCAACCACAGGCAGUCAAAUGUUCAAACCAGGUCAAAUAAGCCUUCUGGGGCUGAUUUGGUCGCAGGCAGCAGAGCAGUUGAAGAAGCAAAUUAGUAAAUGGUAGCAGAACAGAAUCUGUUCCAAGCACACAUGAUCCCAGGAAUGGAUGGAGAGAGAUGUCAGUCAUGGGACUUUCCACAGAGAAGGUGGGAGCAGAGACACAGCCACAUUGUACUGUGAGGUUGGUGAAGGUCUCAAAAAAGGAUUAAGCAAAUGACAACAAAGAUAAUACCUUCCAUUUAUCACUCUAAUUACAUACAGCCCCUUCUGCAUUGUCUUUGGUUUGUUGAUUGAGAGGGAAAAAUAUAUUCUUUCUUAAAUAAUCCAGAAUAAAACUUUUAUUUAUUUAA